rnacentral:pre_miRNA from 1 species
GAGACACCCUUCUGGGGCAAGACUUGCUUCAUUGGGACUUUGGUGCUCACUGAAUCUGCCCCCUGAGUGUGUCCCC